rnacentral:rRNA from 1 species
GAAAUCCCGAGGCUCAACCUCGGGUCUGCAGUGGGUACGGGCAGACUAGAGUGCGGUAGGGGAGAUUGGAAUUCCUGGUGUAGCGGUGGAAUGCGCAGAUAUCAGGAGGAACACCGAUGGCGAAGGCAGAUCUCUGGGCCGUAACUGACGCUGAGGAGCGAAAGGGUGGGGAGCAAACAGGCUUAGAUACCCUGGUAGUCCACCCCGUAAACGUUGGGAACUAGUUGUGGGGUCCAUUCCACGGAUUCCGUGACGCAGCUAACGCAUUAAGUUCCCCGCCUGGGGAGUACGGCCGCAAGGCUAAAACUCAAAGGAAUUGACGGG